AGCAGAUAAGAGCUGAUUUAAUUACUAGGAAGCAGAGCAGUAAUAGAGUGCAGAAGGAUAUGCUGCUGAGCUCAGUCUGUAAGACAGCUUUGGAUUCAGUGGUGACUGAGUGGCACUGGGCUACCACCAGCCAUGCUCUGAAGAGGAUCAGGACAAAGAACUGCAGGAGCCACUGACAUCCUGGGAAAGCAGGUUUUCCAUUGCCUGCAGGGCUGGCUGCAGGUGGAAGUCCUCCAGAGUGGCUAAUACAUCCUCAGUGCCGAGCAAACAUUUUCCAUCAUUCAUCUUUCCUGUGUUGAGUGUGAAGCUGCUCUUCACGCAAUAGCAAGACUUCUAGAGCAGCUGAAGAUCUGAACACUGAAUUGCUGCAUGAAAUGGUAGAAGACUUCACUGGGCUAACCCAGUUGUUGAGAGGACGUCCAGCAAAGUUGCUGAUAGCUUUCUUCCUGUGAGGGAAUGACUGAUGAAGGGAGCAGCUUUUUGCCUUUCUAUUUUGAACACAUCCCCUUUAUUUCACAGAUGCUAAUUUAAAAAUCUUAAU
ensembl:lncRNA